rnacentral:rRNA from 1 species
UCCUACGGGAGGCAGCAGUGGGGAAUAUUGCACAAUGGGCGCAAGCCUGAUGCAGCAACGCCGCGUGAGGGACGAAGGCCUUCGGGUUGUAAACCUCUUUUAGUAGGGAAGAAGCGACUGGGUUUUCCUGGGAGUGACGGUACCUGCAGAAAAAGCACCGGCUAACUACGUGCCAGCAGCCGCGGUAAUACGUAGGGUGCAAGCGUUGUCCGGAAUUAUUGGGCGUAAAGAGCUCGUAGGCGGUUUGUCGCGUCUGCUGUGAAAACCCGAGGCUCAACCUCGGGCCUGCAGUGGGUACGGGCAGACUAGAGUGCGGUAGGGGAGAUUGGAAUUCCUGGUGUAGCGGUGGAAUGCGCAGAUAUCAGGAGGAACACCAAUGGCGAAGGCAGAUCUCUGGGCCGUAACUGACGCUGAGGAGCGAAAGCAUGGGGAGCGAACAGGAUUAGAUACCCUGGUAGUCCAUGCCGUAAACGUUGGGAACUAGAUGUGGGGACCAUUCCACGGUCUCCGUGUCGCAGCUAACGCAUUAAGUUCCCCGCCUGGGGAGUACGGCCGCAAGGCUAAAACUCAAAGGAAUUGACGGGGGCCCGCACAAGCGGCGGAGCAUGCGGAUUAAUUCGAUGCAACGCGAAAAACCUUACCAAGGCUUGACAUAUACCGGAAACGGCUGGAAACAGUCGCCCCGCAAGGUCGGUAUACAGGUGGUGCAUGGUUGUCGUCAGCUCGUGUCGUGAGAUGUUGGGUUAAGUCCCGCAACGAGCGCAACCCUCGUCCUAUGUUGCCAGCACGUAAUGGUGGGAACUCAUGGGAUACUGCCGGGGUCAACUCGGAGGAAGGUGGGGAUGACGUCAAAUCAUCAUGCCCCUUAUGUCUUGGGCUUCACGCAUGCUACAAUGGCCGGUACAAAGGGCUGCGAUACCGCAAGGUGGAGCGAAUCCCAAAAAGCCGGUCUCAGUUCGGAUUGAGGUCUGCAACUCGACCUCAUGAAGUCGGAGUCGCUAGUAAUCGCAGAUCAGCAACGCUGCGGUGAAUACGUUCCCGGGCCUUGUACACACCGCC